UGGACUAAUGAUGAUAGCUGGUGUCUUAUGAAUCAUGGUUGAUGAAUACAUCUCGAACUCCGAGGUCCAA
rnacentral:snoRNA from 2 species